UAGGGAAUAUUAGAAAUGGACGAAAGUCUGAUCUAGCAACACCGCGUGUGCGAAGAAGGCCUUCGGGUCGUAAAGCACUUUUUGGAAGGAAUAGGAAGGAAUGUACUUCCAGAAUAAGUCUCGGCUAACUACGUGCCAGCAGCCGCGGUAACACGUAGGAGGCGAACGUUAUCCGGAUUUACUGGGCGUAAAGCGCGUGUAGGUGGUACUGUAAGUAGGGCGUGAAAGCUCCUGGCUCAACUGGGAGAGGCCGUUCUAAACUACAGAGCUAGAGGAUGGUAGAGGGAGGUGGAACUCCAGGUGUAGCGGUGGAAUGCGCAGAUAUCUGGAGGAACACCGGUGGCG
rnacentral:rRNA from 1 species